rnacentral:SRP_RNA from 1 species
ACUGGGUGCAAUGGCAUGUGCCUGUAGUCCCAGCUACUCAGGAGGCUGAGGUGGGAGGAUCGUUUGAGCCCAGGAGUUCUGGACUGUAGUGUGCUAUACUGAUCGGGUGUCUGCACUAAGUUUGACAUCCAUCUGGUGACCUCCUGGGUGUGGGGGACCACCAGGUUGCCUAAGGAGGGGUGAACCAGCCCAGGUCAGAAACAGAGCAGGUCAAAACUCCCAUGCUGAUCAGUAAUGGGAUCGUGCCUGUGAAUAGCCACUGCAUUCCAACCUGGGCAACAUAGUGAGACCCCAUCUCA